rnacentral:rRNA from 1 species
CCUACGGGCGGCAGCAGUGGGGAAUAUUGCACAAUGGGGGAAACCCUGAUGCAGCGACGCCGCGUGAGUGAAGAAGUAUUUCGGUAUGUUAAGCUCUAUCAGUAGGGAAGAAGAAAGACGGUACCUGACUAAGAAGCCCCUGCUAACUACGUGCCAGCAGCCGCGGUAAUACGUAGGGGGCAAGCGUUAUCCGGAUUUACUGGGUUUAAAGGGAGCGUAGACGGCUGUGCAAGUCUGAAGUGAAAGCCCAGGGCUCAACCCUGGGACUGCUUUGGAAACUGGGGGGCUAGAGUGCUGGAGAGGUAAGUGGAAUUCGUGGUGUAGCGGUGAAAUGCGUAGAUAUUAGGAAGAACACCGGUGGCGAAGGCAGCUUACUGGACAGUAACUGACGUUGAGGCUCGAAAGCGUGGGGAGCAAACAGGAUUAGAUACCCUUGUAGUC